GGUGACUGCGUACCUUUUGUAUAAUGGGUCAGCGACUUAUAUUCUGUAGCAAGGUUAACCGUAUAGGGGAGCCGGAGGGAAACCGAGUCUUAAUUGGGCGUUAAGUUGCAGGGUAUAGACCCGAAACCCGGUGAUCUAGCCAUGGGCAGGUUGAAGGUUGGGUAACACUAACUGGAGGACCGAACCGACUAAUGUUGAAAAAUUAGCGGAUGACCUGUGGCUGGGGGUGAAAGGCCAAUCAAACCGGGAGAUAGCUGGUUCUCCCCGAAAGCUAUUUAGGUAGCGCCUCGUGAAUUCAUCUCCGGGGGUAGAGCACUGUUUCGGCUAGGGGGUCAUCCCGACUUACCAACCCGAUGCAAACUGCGAAUACCGGAGAAUGUUAUCACGGGAGACACACGGCGGGUGCUAACGUCCGUCGUGAAGAGGGAAACAACCCAGACCGCCAGCUAAGGUCCCAAAGUCAUGGUUAAGUGGGAAACGAUGUGGGAAGGCCCAGACAGCCAGGAUGUUGGCUUAGAAGCAGCCAUCAUUUAAAGAAAGCGUAAUAGCUCACUGGUCGAGUCGGCCUGCGCGGAAGAUGUAACGGGGCUAAACCAUGCACCGAAGCUGCGGCAGCGACGCUUAUGCGUUGUUGGGUAGGGGAGCGUUCUGUAAGCCUGUGAAGGUGGCCUGUGAGGGUUGCUGGAGGUAUCAGAAGUGCGAAUGCUGACAUAAGUAACGAUAAAGCGGGUGAAAAGCCCGCUCGCCGGAAGACCAAGGGUUCCUGUCCAACGUUAAUCGGGGCAGGGUGAGUCGACCCCUAAGGCGAGGCCGAAAGGCGUAGUCGAUGGGAAACGGGUUAAUAUUCCCGUACUUGGUGUUACUGCGAAGGGGGGACGGAGAAGGCUAUGUUGGCCGGGCGACGGUUGUCCCGGUUUAAGCGUGUAGGUGUGUGUUCCAGGUAAAUCCGGUUCACUUUAACACUGAGGCGUGACGACGAGGCACUACGGUGCUGAAGCAACAAAUGCCCUGCUUCCAGGAAAAGCCUCUAAGCAUCAGGUAACAUCAAAUCGUACCCCAAACCGACACAGGUGGUCAGGUAGAGAAUACCAAGGCGCUUGAGAGAACUCGGGUGAAGGAACUAGGCAAAAUGGUGCCGUAACUUCGGGAGAAGGCACGCUGACACGUAGGUGAAGUGAUUUACUCACGGAGCUGAAGUCAGUCGAAGAUACCAGCUGGCUGCAACUGUUUAUUAAAAACACAGCACUGUGCAAACACGAAAGUGGACGUAUACGGUGUGACGCCUGCCCGGUGCCGGAAGGUUAAUUGAUGGGGUCAGCGCAAGCGAAGCUCCUGAUCGAAGCCCCGGUAAACGGCGGCCGUAACUAUAACGGUCCUAAGGUAGCGAAAUUCCUUGUCGGGUAAGUUCCGACCUGCACGAAUGGCGUAAUGAUGGCCAGGCUGUCUCCACCCGAGACUCAGUGAAAUUGAACUCGCUGUGAAGAUGCAGUGUACCCGCGGCAAGACGGAAAGACCCCGUGAACCUUUACUAUAGCUUGACACUGAACAUUGAGCCUUGAUGUGUAGGAUAGGUGGGAGGCUUUGAAGCGUGGACGCCAGUCUGCGUGGAGCCGACCUUGAAAUACCACCCUUUAAUGUUUGAUGUUCUAACGUGGACCCGUGAUCCGGGUUGCGGACAGUGUCUGGUGGGUAGUUUGACUGGGGCGGUCUCCUCCUAAAGAGUAACGGAGGAGCACGAAGGUUGGCUAAUCCUGGUCGGACAUCAGGAGGUUAGUGCAAUGGCAUAAGCCAGCUUGACUGCGAGCGUGACGGCGCGAGCAGGUGCGAAAGCAGGUCAUAGUGAUCCGGUGGUUCUGAAUGGAAGGGCCAUCGCUCAACGGAUAAAAGGUACUCCGGGGAUAACAGGCUGAUACCGCCCAAGAGUUCAUAUCGACGGCGGUGUUUGGCACCUCGAUGUCGGCUCAUCACAUCCUGGGGCUGAAGUAGGUCCCAAGGGUAUGGCUGUUCGCCAUUUAAAGUGGUACGCGAGCUGGGUUUAGAACGUCGUGAGACAGUUCGGUCCCUAUCUGCCGUGGGCGCUGGAGAACUGAGGGGGGCUGCUCCUAGUACGAGAGGACCGGAGUGGACGCAUCACUGGUGUUCGGGUUGUCAUGCCAAUGGCACUGCCCGGUAGCUAAAUGCGGAAGAGAUAAGUGCUGAAAGCAUCUAAGCACGAAACUUGCCCCGAGAUGAGUUCU
rnacentral:rRNA from 1 species